rnacentral:tRNA from 1 species
GAAAUAAUAAAAAUAUUAAGCUUCUAACUUAAAUAUUAAAUGUAUUAAAUCAUUUUUAUUUCA